rnacentral:lncRNA from 1 species
GUACAUUCGGAUGCUAUUCAUCAUCGUUUGCGUCUGACAACGCCGUCUGCGAUAAGACAUACCACUCAAUUUGUGCAAACCUUUACUGCUAGUCUGCUACCGCAUAUCAAGUUAGUAUCACAACUCACUUACAAGCUUGUUACUAGCUCGGUCUUUGACUUUUCUCAAUUCAUGUGCCAAGAACAACUCAUCGUCUCUCAAGAGAAAAAAAACAAAGAAAAAACAUUUUCAUUUACUCUAUUAUUAGUCUCACAUGCAAUAUGAUUAUGCAUGCUACUACUCCUAUGAAUGAGUCGUUGUAUGCUUAUCUACGUAAAUGACUGUAAAUAAAAAAUAUUAGUGUAUAUGUGCCCCUUAAGAAAUGGUAAGGCCGAGCAGCUCAAGAUGGUGAUUUGUCAGUGUCUAUCUUUCACAAAAUGUUCAUAAAACAAAACAUCAUAUCCAUUCAUGCAGGAGCGCACAAAGUUCCAACGCAUUUUCUAAAAUGAUGAGUCCAACCUGCGACUACAGAAAACGUGAUAGUGACACUGACAAAUAACGUUGAUUGUGUGAUUUCCGACUUGUUCCAUCGAGUCGGAGCCACAUAAUUUUUACAAGACCACAAAAUGAACAUCAUUCUCUACCCUUUUAAGCCAAUUUCCUAAAUUUCUUAUUUUACUAAAAGCUUUAAAUUACCUUUAAUCUGCUAUUUUUUAAAAAUAGAGACUGAGAUAGGACAAUAAAAUACCUUUGUUUGGCGGAGAAACUUGAAAAUUCAAAGGUUGUUGAUGAUUUCCUGAU